ACAGUUAUGGGAGCACAUUUUUGAACACAGGCUCCCACCUUCAACUUAUCACUUCCUUACCUUUGCUGGGGUACCUGAUGACUUUAAAGAGACUGUUUCUUUGGAGAAGGUGGAAUACGCUUAAAGAUUGGAAUGGAUACAACCAAACCACCAUAAAAGCCUUAUGUGGAACAUGGCAGACCUCUCUCAAUCAAAAUCCCGAUACGACCACAGGGAAUGACCGCCCUCAUGGGCCAGCUUUGGACUGUCAUGUGAAUGACAAGUAAAGUCUUACUGUGAUUAAGCAUUGUACAGUUUGGAGUCUGCUGGAUAGAGUAUCCAGCAACACCCUAGCCAAUGCAGUAUUUGAUGCCUUAAACUUCAC
rnacentral:lncRNA from 1 species